rnacentral:rRNA from 1 species
GACGAACGCUGGCGGCGUGCUUAACACAUGCAAGUCGAACGGUAAGGCUCCAGCUUGCUGGGGUACACGAGUGGCGAACGGGUGAGUAACACGUGGGUGACCUGCCCUGCACUUCGGGAUAAGCCUGGGAAACUGGGUCUAAUACCGGAUAGGACCAUGGUGUGGAUACUGUGGUGGAAAGUUUUUUCGGUGUGGGAUGGGCCCGCGGCCUAUCAGCUUGUUGGUGGGGUAAUGGCCUACCAAGGCGGCGACGGGUAGCCGGCCUGAGAGGGUGGACGGCCAAAUGGGGACAGAAACACGGCCCAGACCCCUACGGGGGGGAGGAGUGGGGAAUAUUGCCAAAGGGGGGGAAGCCGGAUGGCGCGACCCCGGGGGGGGGAGGACGGCCUUGGGGUUGAAAACUCUUUUCCCCAUGGACGAAGGGUUUCUGAGGGGAGAGGGAGAAGAAGCACCGCCAAACUACGU